rnacentral:tRNA from 2 species
GCACGCUUAGCUCAGUUGGUAGAGCAAUUGUUUUACACACAAUAGGCCGCAGGUUCGAGCCCUGCAGCGUGCACCA